rnacentral:rRNA from 1 species
CCUACGGGGUGCUGCAGUGGGGAAUAUUGGACAAUGGGCGAAAGCCUGAUCCAGCCAUGUCGCGUGUGUGAAGAAGGCCUUCGGGUUGUAAAGCACUUUCAGUGGGGAAGAAAGCCUUGGGGCUAAUACCCUCGAGGAAGGACAUCACCCACAGAAGAAGCACCGGCUAACUCCGUGCCAGCAGCCGCGGUAAUACGGAGGGUGCGAGCGUUAAUCGGAAUUACUGGGCGUAAAGCGCGCGUAGGCGGUCUGAUAAGCCGGUUGUGAAAGCCCCGGGCUCAACCUGGGAACGGCAUCCGGAACUGUCAGGCUAGAGUGCAGGAGAGGAAGGUAGAAUUCCCGGUGUAGCGGUGAAAUGCGUAGAGAUCGGGAGGAAUACCAGUGGCGAAGGCGGCCUUCUGGACUGACACUGACGCUGAGGUGCGAAAGCGUGGGUAGCAAACAGGAUUAGAUACCCGAGUAGUC